UGAUUUCAUGUCACUUCUGGAAAGGCCAAAGAAUAAUUUUUGCAUGGUAAAAAUCCUGCCGAGGCCAUAAUGGAGGAAAUCCAAACGCACGAGGGAAGGAUUGGACAUUUUGUGAAGGAAAUGUUUGUACAAAUUUUUGUUUCAGGCCCUGAUGAGAACCAGAAAUUUCAGCAGUGUGUAACAAAGAAAAGGAAUGUGACUGAGAAGAAACAGUGAAAGCAGAGCUGUAGAAAGCGAUCGAGAUUUUACAAAGACUCUUAGGUUCCAGAGCAAAAGUGAGCAGUCUGGCACACAUUACUGCAGCUAAAAGCAAGACUUUUAAGAGUCUCAAGGCAUUCGAGUUUUUCUAACAGGAAAGAUUCCAAAUUGGUCCUCAGAAGCUCUCAACUGAAGGCAGGGAGUCUAGAUUUAGAUGAUUUCUUGAGAGUCCUAGCCUCCUGAAGCCCUGCAGCAUAAAUUCUUGCUUCCCUUGGCUCUAGUGAUUUGGUAUCACUUGAAUGACUUCAACAUUUGUUGCUCUAAUUAGUAAAUGAAAGCUCAGAUACCACCUGCCUCCAGACAGCAGUGGUUCGGUGUCUGCCACCCUGAGACGGGUGCCCACUCAGCUGUUUCGGAGGCAGAGAGCAAAGCUGCCUGAAGCCACCAGACACCUGACAGUUUUCAGAGUUCACGGACCCCAUUAAUCAGCUGGAAGGCAAGACUAUUUUCCUUUG